ensembl:snRNA U6 U6 spliceosomal RNA
GUGCUCGCUUCGGCAGCACAUAUGCUAAAAUUGGAACGAUACAGAGAUUAAUUAGCAUGGCCCCUGUGCAAGGAUGACACGCAAAUUCAUGAAGCGUUCCAUAUUUAA